rnacentral:rRNA from 1 species
UACGGGGGGGGCAAGCGUUGUUCGGAAUUACUGGGCGUAGAGGGCGUGUAGGCGGUUUGCUAAGUUGGAUGUGAAAACUCUGGGCUUAACCCAGAGCCUGCAUUCAAAACUGACAGGCUAGAGUUCUGGAGGGGAUAGCGGAAUUCCUGGUGUAGCGGUGAAAUGCGUGGAUAUCAGGAGGAACACCGGUGGCGAAGGCGGCUAUCUGGACAGAAACUGACGCUGAGGCGCGAAAGCUAGGGGAGCAAACAGG